rnacentral:tRNA from 1 species
GCCCAGGUGGUGAAAUUGGUAUACACGCUAGCUUCAGGUGCUAGUGGCCGCAAGGCCGUGGAGGUUCAAGUCCUCUCCUGGGCACCA